rnacentral:rRNA from 1 species
UACGGAGGGGGCUAGCGUUGUUCGGAAUUACUGGGCGUAAAGCGCGCGUAGGCGGCUUUGCAAGUCGGGUGUGAAAUCCCCAGGCUUAACCUGGGAACUGCAUUCGAGACUGCAUUGCUAGAGUAUGGGAGAGGGAUGCGGAAUUCCAGGUGUAGCGGUGAAAUGCGUAGAUAUCUGGAGGAACACCGGUGGCGAAGGCGGCAUCCUGGACCGGUAUUGACGCUGAGGCGCGAAAGCCAGGGGAGCAAACGGG